rnacentral:rRNA from 1 species
GAUGAACGCUGGCGGCGUGCCUAAUACAUGCAAGUCGAGCGAACAGACGAGGAGCUUGCUCCUCUGACGUUAGCGGCGGACGGGUGAGUAACACGUGGAUAACCUACCUAUAAGACUGGGAUAACUUCGGGAAACCGGAGCUAAUACCGGAUAAUAUAUUGAACCGCAUGGUUCAAUAGUGAAAGACGGUUUUGCUGUCACUUAUAGAUGGAUCCGCGCCGCAUUAGCUAGUUGGUAAGGUAACGGCUUACCAAGGCGACGAUGCGUAGCCGACCUGAGAGGGUGAUCGGCCACACUGGAACUGAGACACGGUCCAGACUCCUACGGGAGGCAGCAGUAGGGAAUCUUCCGCAAUGGGCGAAAGCCUGACGGAGCAACGCCGCGUGAGUGAUGAAGGGCUUCGGAUCGUAAAACGCUGUUAUUAGGGAAGAACAAAUGUGUAAGUAACUAUGCACGUCUUGACGGUACCUAAUCAGAAAGCCACGGCUAACUACGU